rnacentral:misc_RNA from 1 species
GUAGGUGAACCUGCGGAAGGAUCAUUAACACGUAUCCAAACGUUAAACCCCCCUGUGAACCUUCAGUCGUACUCGUACGUCCGUUAGAAAAAGCAGCAAUCCCUGGUAAGGAGCGUGCAUGUUGUGCGUGUAAGUGGCCUGGCAUCCCCAAGCAGUUAGUGUCUGAAAGUGUCACUAACGUUAGUGUCUGAAAGUGUCACUAACAUGUGUAAGGAUGACGCAGUCACGAUCGUUGGAGGCCCACACGGCCGACGACCGGGUCACCGGGUGCAAGCCCCCUUAUCACACCCCUGCUCUAUCUAUGGUGAUCCUGCGGGAAGUCCUGCGGUCGAACGCCGAAACCGAACAACUGUUAACAAUGGAUAUCUUGGUUCUC